AGUAAGGGCGACUGAAAGGGGAGGAGCCCAGCGCAUAACCUCGCGGUCGUUUUGAGGCCGUAGAGGGGUGUUGCGUUUCGGUGCAUCCGUACCGCUCUUUUUGCCGACCGCCUAAGUCAUUGCUUGAAUGCAGCCCCGAGGAGGGUGGUAGGCCCGUGUGGCGGCGCCUGUAAAAAGGUUUGAAGCAAUUUGAGCGGAGGGGUGUUUACCGUAGAGUCGGGUUGCUUAGUACUGCAGCCCUAAGUAGGUGGUAAACUCCAUCUAAGGCUAAAUACUAGCACGAGUCCGAUAUUUGACAAGUACCGUGAGGGAAAGCUGAAAAGGACUCUGAAGAGAGAGUUCAAGAGGACGUGAAACCAUUAGAAGCUAAAACGGGUGGAACCGUGAAGGUGGAAAGAGGGGAUUCAGGCUGUGCGCGCACGUUCCGCAGCUAGGUGGGCUAGCGUGAGAGGACCCGGCGUUAGAGAUAGUUGCCGGUGCCCCUGGCUGCGGAUGCGUGAGCGGGCAGGCUUAGUUCUCCCUCGAGUACGGAUCGUGGCGACCUGCCGUGCGGACCCCCGGGUCCUGCUUGGACUGGUAGCCUGCACCUUCGGUGUGGGUGAUGACCUGCAGGGUUAAAACUGUGCGGGUUUGUACGGCGGUCACUGCUAGGAGGCUUGGUCUGGCCCACUGCGGUCAGGCCGUCGAUGCCUCUCGCCACGUGAGAGCGAUCGGUAAUCCACCCGACCCGUCUUGAAACACGGACCAAGGAGUCCAACAUGUGCGCGAGUCUAAGGGUGAGAUAAACCCGGAGGCGAAAUGAAAGUGAGCUCCGUUGGGGGCAGGCCGAUCCCCUGUCGAGGCCGGGUAGCGGAGGCCGCCGGGUGAGGGACUUUCCCCGUGCUGGCGUGCUGCUGUUCGGUCUGGGCUGCUCCGUCUCGCGAGGGGCGGGGUAUCGGGGGCGCAGGCCGAGGACUUGCCUGAGUGCGGCGCGGGCAACGGGUUGCUCUCGGGCUUCCUUAUCCCGACGUCCGCCGGCAAGUACCUGAGAGCGCAGCCGUUGGGACCCGAAAGAUGGUGAACUAUGCCUGGCGAGGACGAAGCCAGAGGAAACUCUGGUGGAGGUCCGAAGCAGUUCUGACGUGCAAAUCGAUUGUCAGAGCUGGGUAUAGGGGCGAAAGACUAAUCGAACCAUCUAGUAGCUGGUUCCCUCCGAAGUUUCCCUCAGGAUAGCUGGCAUUUUUCAGGAUGAGUUUCAUCCGGUAAAGCGAAUGAUUAGAGGCCUUGGUGGUGCAAUGCCGUCAACCUAUUCUCAAACUUUAAAUGGGUGAGAUGUAGAGCUUGCUUGAGAGAAAUGUGAAGCUCUAUUGACUUUGAAUCAGAAUGCCUAGUGGGCCACUUUUGGUAAGCAGAACUGGCGCUGUGGGAUGAACCAAACGCACGAGUUAAGGGGCCUAAAUGGAUGCUAAUGUAGACACUACGAAAAGGUGUUGGUUGCUAUAGACAGCAGGGCGGUGGCCAUGGAAGUUGGAAUCCGCUAAGGAGUGUGUAACAACUCACCUGCCGAAGCAACUAGCCCUUAAAAUGGUAUGGCGCUGAAGCAUUCUCCCGAUACUCGGCCGCCGGGGCAUUCUUUUGGUUGAGAGAGACCAGCGAAGCCCCGGUGAGUAGGAGGGUCGCAGCGGUGAGCGUCGAAGGGACUGGGCGCGAGCCGGCCUGGAGCCGCCGCUGGCGCAG
rnacentral:rRNA from 1 species